UCCCCAAUUUUGGGUGAUGAUCCCUAAUCCCGAGGGGGGGUCCCCAGUUCCGGGGGCGUCCCCAAUCCCGAGGGUGGUCCCUAAUUCCGGGCGGGUGUCCCCAAUUCUGGGGGUGUCCCCAAUUCCGGGGGAUGCCCCUAAUUCCGGAGAGGGGUCCCCAAUACCGAGGAGGUGUCCCUAAUUCUGGGGGGUGUCCCCAAUUCUGGGUGAGGGUCCCCAGUUCUGGGUGAGGGUCCCCCCAUCCCCAGAGGGGGGGUUCCCAAUCCCAAAAUGAGGUGGGGGGGGUCCCUUUUUCACCCCCCCGCUCACCGCCCAUCCCCCAGCGGAGCCUGAGGCUACAAACCCAAGUUUGAGAAGCUGAAGUGGGAGCUGGAGCGGCGCUUCCCGGGAGCCCUGGACGUGAGCGGCCAGGGCACCCCGGAGGUGACGGGAUGGUUUGAGGUGACCGUGGGGGGACACCUGGUCCACUC